GCCAAAUGAGUGUCUGUGAUGCUCCGCCACCUGUCAAAGCAGAGAGGGCUCCUGCAGGUGGAGCCCAGGGGGCCCUUCUACUGGCUGCAGCUCCAGCCCCACCCCCUUCUCAGUGCUUAAACCUCCCAGCCUCACUGAGUCUCCACUAUCCAGGAAAGGAAGCUCCACAUUCAAAGGCCUGCAAAGAAUAGCACACAUAGCUGGAAGAGAACUCAGAGGAGAGGAUCUCAGCAAGAAGUUGCCAUGGACCUGAUCCCAUACUUUUCCACGGAAUCCUGGUUCUCCUGGUUACUAGUCUGGUGCUCCUGUAUUUAUGCGGGACUUAUUCACAUGGAUUUUUUAAGAAGCUGGGGAUUCCUGGACCAAAACCUCUGCCUUAUUUUGGAAAUAUUCUGUCCUACAAAACUGUGCGUGCUGUUUGAGCUCCAGCUUUGCUUCUUGUGGUUGCAAAUCCCAGGAACCAUCAAAUUACUGAGUGGCUGCACCAUUUUAUGUUCCGCCAACAGCGCACAAGCUCUCCAGUUUCUCCACGUCUUUACCAACAGUGCUCAUCUCUGCUGUUUUAGUAGUAGCCAUCUUAAUGAGCAUGAUGUGGUAUCUCAUCAUGGCUUUUGUUUGUUUUUAUUAAAGAGUGAGACUCAUUUCUCCUACUGCUGUUAAGAUGUGGAUGACAUUUGACAUUGUGUUAGUUCAAGGUGUACAAGACAAUGAUUCAAUGUACGCAUAUAUUCCAAAAUGAUUACCAAAAUGGGUUUUGUUAAUUUACCUCAAGUAGUUAUAGCUUUUUCUUUUAUUGAACUUUUAUUUUAGUUUAGUCCUUUUAUAAGAAAAAGAUGUAAUCUCUUGGCAACUUUCAAAUAUACAAUUCAUAGUGUUAACUGUAGUCACCAUGCUAUAUAUUAUACCCUUCAAACUAAUUUAUCUUACUACUGGGAAUUCUUACAUUUUGAUCACCUUUUCCUGUUUCCCUCACCCCUAGCCCCAGCUCUGGAAAUUACUAAUCCGUUUUCUGUAUCUAAAAGUGGAGGGUUUUUUUGAUCCUACACACAAGUGAUAUCAUAGAGAAUUUGUCUUUCUCUGACUUAUUUCACUUAGCACAAUGUCCUCAAGGUCCACCCAUGUUGUCACAAAUGACAAGAAUUCUUUAUUUUUUAUAGAACUAAUAUUCCAUUGUAUAUACAUGCCACCUUUUCUUUAUCCAUUCAUCCAUAGACAGACACUGAGGUUGUUUCCAUAUCUUGACUACUAUUAAUAAUACUGCAGUGAACAUGGGGGGAAGAUAACUUUUCAAGAUGGAGAUUUCAUUUACUUGAAUUUCUACCCAGAACUGGAAUUCCUAGAUCAUAAUGUGGUUCUAUUUUUAAUUAUUGAGGAACCUGAAUAUUUUUUCAAUAGUAACUCUACCAAUUUACAUUCCCAAGAUCCUGAUGCUGGGAAAGAUUGAGGGCAAGAGGAGAAGGG